UACGAAGGGGGCUAGCGUUGCUCGGAAUUACUGGGCGUAAAGCGCACGUAGGCGGCUUCUAAGUCGGGGGUGAAAUCCUGGAGCUCAACUCCAGAACUGCCUCGAUACUGGGAGCUCGAGUCCGGGAGAGGUGAGUGGAACUGCGAGUGUAGAGGUGAAAUUCGUAGAUAUCGCAAGAACACCAGUGGCGAAGGCGGCUCACUGGCCCGGUACUGACGCUGAGGUGCGAAAGCGUGGGGAGCAAACAGG
rnacentral:rRNA from 1 species